UAUAUAACGCUUUAUUUUAGGUGCGUCGGGAAAGAAUACGUGGUGAGCAACAGAAAAUGUCCACCAUAUUUCAAAUUUGGCACAUUUUCCGCAGAGUCCACAAAGGCUCAGCCGAGGACUACAAGCACAUAGUUAUAACACGCUGUUUAUUAGCUGAUCAGGAAUGUGUUGAAUUUAUUGGAAGAUGCAAAUUUUCUUCAAAUAUUUGCCCCAGCCAAGUACAAUAAACACUGUUGAUCAAGUGCAAUUAUUGUAAAAUAUCUCCUCUAUUAAUGACGUCUAAUCAUGGUCUUUGCAUCAUCGCAUGUUUAUUUAUUCAGCUCUUACAGAUUACUUGUGCUCAAAGACCCAUAAUAGUAACAUUAAAAAUUAGUGUGCACUGAACUGGGACAAAGUAAUAAAUGUUGCACUUCACAAAUCGGAGAUCCUCAAUUACAUUUAAAUCUGAAUACUCCAAAAGUUGCCACAAUCUUACAUCGUUGGCGGACGAACAACAGGGAUUCAGAUCGGGAAGAUCUUGCACAGACACCGUGUUCGUAUUAAGACAAAUAGUCGAGAGUCGAUUAAAUUGUUAUAUUAUAACGUUUAUAUGUUUUGUUGAUCUAACUAGAGUAUUUGACCGUGUCCAGCUGAAAGACGUCCUGCAUCUCCUUUACAACAG
rnacentral:lncRNA from 1 species